UACGGGGGGGGCAAGCGUUGUUCGGAAUUACUGGGCGUAAAGGGCGUGUAGGCGGUCAAGUAAGUGGGAUGUGAAAUCCCUCGGCUCACCCGAGGACCUGCAUCGCAAACUGCUUGGCUUGAGUAUGGGAGAGGAUGAGGGAAUUCCUGGUGUAGCGGUGAAAUGCGUAGAUAUCAGGAGGAACACCGGUGGCGAAGGCAGCUUGCUGCACAAUCAUUGACACUGAGGCACGAAAGCGUGGGGAUCAAACAGG
rnacentral:rRNA from 1 species